rnacentral:lncRNA from 1 species
CCGGGUUUUGUAAUAACAUUAACAACACGACGGCUGCAAUAUGAGGAGCAGGAUCUGCUUUUCCUUCUGGAGCACCUGAGAUCACCCCUGUUUUUUUUUUAAUUUGGUUUGUGUUACCUAGUCUUUAGUUUUCUAUUUUGUGUCUUGUGCACUAUUUUUUGUCUGUUUAUCUUUUUCUUUUUUAAGCCAUGGCGUUGGUUUAAUUCGUGAACUAUGAGUUUGAAUGUCCCUCUGGUAUCUUUCGCCCAUCUUUUAUAUUCACCAGAUUUUCUCAACUGCUUGCAACGUUUUGUGUUUUAUCUUCGGUUUAACAAUUAGUUUAAAUCUUAGAAGAAUCAUAACUUUUCUGUUUUAUUCCGAUUUUUUUUUCAGGUCUUGAAAGGGGUGUUAGAAAAC